AUGUUGACACAGAAAUGCAUUUUCGAGAGCAUCCACCCCCAAGGGUCCACCGUUCAAGGGUCAGGCAUAUCAGUACAAGGUCCUGCCCUUCGGGCUGUCCCUGUCGCCUUGCAUUUUUACCAAAAUUGUGGAGCAGCCCUUGUUUCUUUGAGAGAACUGGGGAUGCGCAUUCACAACUAUCUCAAUGACUGGCUCAUACUCGCACGGUCUCACAAUCAGUUGUGCGCACACAGGGACCUGGUGCUCAGACACAACUUAGCCAGUCGGGAAAAGAGCAAACUUGUGCCAACGCAGAGGAUCUCUUUUCUCGGCAUGGAGUUGGAUUCGGUCAGCCAGACAGCACGCCUCACCCAGGAACGUGCUCAGUCGGUCCUGAACUGCCAUGGCCGAGUCCCGAGGUGGGUGUGGCGACGCGGUACUCACCGGGUUCUGAUUACACUGACCUGCCACAGAACCUUCAGCCCGUGGUCAGAUCCCUCAUUUCUUCGGGCAGGAGUGUCCCUGAAACAGGUAUCCAGUCAUGCUGUGGUAUACACGGAUGCCUCGGCCACUGGCUGGGGGACCAUGUACAACGGGCACACAGUGUCAGGGGUUUGGACCUGUCCAAAUAUCAACUGCUUUGAGUUGCUAGCAAUAUGCCUUGCCCUGAGCCGCCUCAGAGGGCGCCUUCAGGGCAGGGACAUUCUGGUCCGCACGGAUAACACUGUGACUGUUGCAUAUAUCAACCAGCAAGGCAGUUUACGCUACCAUUGCUGGUCGCAAUUUGCCUGCCACCUCCUCCUGUGGAGUCAGAAGCAUCUGAGGUCCUUUCGUGCCAUCCACAUCCCGGGAGUGUCCAAUCGGGCAGCCGACGAGCUGUCUCGAGCAGCACUUCGAGGAGAGUGGAGACUCCACCCCCAGGUGGUUCAGCUGCUCUGGAGACGGUUCGGAGUUGCUCAGGUAGACCUGUUUGCAUCUCCAGAAACCACCCACUGCCAGUGGUUCUACUCCCUAACUGAGGCAACGCUCGGCACGGACGCACUGGCACACAGUUGGCCCCAGGGCCUGUGCAAAUAUGCGUUUCCCCCAGUGAGCCUGCUCGCACAGACACUGUGUUAG
ensembl:lncRNA